CAGCAGCCACGGUAAUACGAAGGGUGCAAGCGUUAAUCGGAAUUACUGGGCGUAAAGCGUGCGUAGGCGGUGAGUUAAGUCUGCUGUGAAAUCCCCGGGCUCAACCUGGGAAUGGCAGUGGAUACUGGCUCGCUAGAGUGUGUCAGAGGAUGGUGGAAUUCCCGGUGUAGCGGUGAAAUGCGUAGAGAUCGGGAGGAACAUCAGUGGCGAAGGCGGCCAUCUGGGUCAACACUGACGCUGAGACACGAAAGCGUGGGGAGCAAACAGGAUUAGAUACCCCUGUAGUCCCUGUCUCUUAUAC
rnacentral:rRNA from 1 species